CCUCCGGUAGCUCAGCGGUAGAGCAGGGAUGGAAAAUUGAAGUGAGCGUCCGAUAUUCGAGAGCAUUUCUACGUAUCUCCCCGUCGUUGGUUCGAAUCCAGCCUGGAGGU